rnacentral:rRNA from 1 species
AUUGAACGCUGGCGGCAUGCCUUACACAUGCAAGUCGAACGGCAGCAUGGAGAGCUUGCUCUCUGAUGGCGAGUGGCGAACGGGUGAGUAAUGCAUCGGAACGUACCGUGUAAUGGGGGAUAACGUAGCGAAAGUUACGCUAAUACCGCAUACGACCUGAGGGUGAAAGCAGGGGAUCGCAAGACCUUGCGUUAUACGAGCGGCCGAUGUCAGAUUAGCUAGUUGGUGAGGUAAAGGCUCACCAAGGCGACGAUCUGUAGCGGGUCUGCGCGGAUGGUCCACCACACUGGGACUGGGACACGGCCCAGACUCCUACGGGAGGCAGCGGUGGGGAAUUUUGGACAAUGGGGGCAACCCUGAUCCAGCCAUGCCGCGUGAGUGAAGAAGGCCUUCGGGUUGUAAAGCUCUUUCGGCCGGGAAGAAAUCGCACAGGCUAAUACUCUGUGUGGAUGACGGUACCGGCAUAAGAAGCACCGGCUAACUACGUGCCAGCCGCCGCGGUAA